CCUACGGGAGGCUGCAGUGAGGAAUAUUGGUCAAUGGACGAGAGUCUGAACCAGCCAAGUAGCGUGAAGGAUGACUACCCUAUGGGUUGUAAACUUCUUUUAUAUGGGAAUAAAAUGUUACACGUGUGGGAUUUUGUAUGUACCAUAUGAAUAAGGAUCGGCUAACUCCGUGCCAGCAGCCGCGGUAAUACGGAGGAUCCGAGCGUUAUCCGGAUGUAUUGGGUUUAAAGGGAACGUAGGUGGAUUGUUAAGUCAGUUGAGAAAGUUUGCGGCUCAACCGUAAAAUUGCAGUUGAAACUGGCAGUCUUGAGUACAGUAGAGGUGGGCGGAAUUCGUGGUGUAGCGGUGAAAUGCUUAGAUAUCACGAAGAACUCCGAUUGCGAAGGCAGCUCACUGGACUGCAACUGACACUGAGGCUCGAAAGUGUGGGUAUCAAACAGGAUUAGAUACCCUAGUAGUC
rnacentral:rRNA from 1 species